rnacentral:misc_RNA from 1 species
AUUAUUUUGAUUUAAUUUUUAAUUAUGAAAAAUGCCACAACUUUAGAGGCUUGGAUACAAUUGCUUCCAAUCUUAAAGGUUUGUCCCUCUCCAGCCAAAAUUAAAAAGUGUAGAUAUAAUUACCAAUUAGCAUAAAGGUUUGGCCUUUUUUUAACUUUAUGGUUUAAAAGACCGUAAAAUUUUUUAAAGUUUAUUAUGCUGCUGGAAUUAUAUUAGAGACAUGUUGGUUUAUGGAAAUUGUUCUAGGUGUAAAAUUUAUGCAAUAUGAAGGCCAACAAACCAAGUAGUACAGAACAAAUGUAAUUCACGUACAACAAUCUAAAUUAGCAUACCAACUAAUCCUAUCCUCUACGUACCUUGUAUCUAAUUUGUGUACCACCUACCACAUCCCCUUACCAUAUAUCGAAGGGUAUUUUGUUCUAGGUAACUAUGUAGUCAACAGUAACUUCAAUUGGUGAGAAAGACAAUAGCCUAUUAUUAAUUGAAACACUACAUUUGACUAAUUUCACUCGACCAUGUGGCAAAUAUCUAGGUAAA